rnacentral:pre_miRNA from 1 species
GAAAAGUCUUAGAACACAAUUUAUGAUUUUGUAUCUUUGUUUGGACUAGUGAUUCUGUUGUUGAUAGACUUAUGGUUUACAACAAAUGACAUAAAAUUUGUUCUACGUUGCUUAUU